UGGGCUGGUUCUUCCUGGCAAGGUCCUCUGCUUUUAGUGGUUUUUAUGGUGGUAGUCAGCCUGAAGGCUGAAGGGGCUGGGGACAGGUAGGAAGUGUUUGUGUCUAUGGAGGUAAGUGACAUUAAGUCUAAACACUACACAAGACCACUCAAUUCAUUCCAGUGUUAUCUCUUCCAGAUCUGGAGCACAGCCACCUGUCUCUUCUAAGUCCUGCACACAGAUGUUUGAAAGUGCAGCCUAGUAGGCAGUGAUGGGGCACACCUUUAAUCCCAGCACUCGGGAGGCAGAGGUGCCGGAGUCUCUGUGAUGCAUUCAGAUGUUUACAAGCAAGAGUGCAGAGAGUGGCCCUUCUCCUCCAUGUCUCCAUUCAUCUGGUUCCCUCUGGAGAUAGCCAAUGUGGACACAUUUCCUGCAUCUUACUUUAUUUACAGAUGUAUCUCACAGUAGAAGUUAAGCAGCAGUGACAGGGAACAGAGAGAGGACAUGUGUGGCCGUGGAGCUGACGUCCUGAGGACCCUAGAGAGCAGCAGUGAACCUGCACUCCCAGAGGCCUAGACGCUGCGGGAGCCCCAUGGAAAAGACGUCCUGCCUGAGAUGGGGAGAAUUACAGGCUUCUAGUGAGGGUCACUGCAGCUUCGGUGGGCAGCUGGGAUUGCUCUGUGACAGCCCAUAGUCUUCUGAACAAGUCUGCAGUCCACAGGAAGCACCACCCCUCUGAAUGAGCUAACCCUCCCGAUGGCGUCACCACCUUCAGCACUGUCACAAGCAAAUAGCAAAGACUGGCUUGGGGAAGGACACACUAUAUUUAAAGCAUAGCACCCCAUCCUUGCCUCCUCACAGUC